AGAACGAACGCUGGCGGCGUGGAUAAGACAUGCAAGUCGAGCGCUGAUUACAGGGUAGCAAUAUUCUGUAGUUGGAGCGGCGCAAGGGUGCGUAACACGUGGGUAAUCUGCCAUGAAGUUCGGGAUAACUCGCUGAAAGGCGAGCUAAUACCGAAUGUGAAAAUUAGGAGGCAUCUUCCGAUUUUCAAAGCUGGGGACCGUAAGGCCUGGCGCUUCAUGAUGAGCCCGCGGCCUAUCAGCUAGUUGGUGAGGUAACGGCUCACCAAGGCUAAGACGGGUAGCUGGUCUGAGAGGACGACCAGCCACACUGGAACUGAGACACGGUCCAGACACCUACGGGUGCAGCAGUCGAGAAUUUUCAC
rnacentral:rRNA from 1 species